AGUUAUGUAGUUUAAUGUAAAACAUCAUUUUUGUAAAUUGAUAAUUAACUUAAAGUUACAUAUCUA
rnacentral:tRNA from 1 species